rnacentral:lncRNA from 1 species
CGGAAAACCUGUGAUUUCAUGGAUUUUCAAAUGGGUGGAGGGCUGCAGCAUGCCGAGUGGACGACAGGGCUCAUUAGAAUAGGCCUCAGGCCACUGCCCCUUGGGACUUUUGAUGGCGACUGUCGUAAAGGUGAAAGGAACAGGCUGGAUUCCACAAAACAGCAUAGGGGCGCAAUACACAAAACCAGAAGAAGAGAACUUUAGGCACCUGGCCUGCCAAAAUGGGCCCAAGGUCCAAAGACCACCAGCGAGAACUCGCACAACGCGACCGAACACUAAAUGACGCAAAAACGGUUUGGGUCUGUCGGAUGUGUCCCUGGCUCCCUCGGCGAGUGUGCUGCCCACCUGCCGGCUGCAGUGCCAGGUACCCCCUCGGAUCCUGCAUCCACAUCCUGCCCAGCGCAUCGGGCGCGCGUGCCUCUGUGGGACCUGCCUUUCCUGUCUGGACACUCCUCUCUUGGACCUUUGCCUUCUUGCUGCCAACUCGUGCAGGCUCCUUGUCACUUAGGACCUGAGCCAUCCCUGGAGGGACUCCGCCUGCAGGACAAUGUGGGUCAGAGGCCCCCAAGUGCCCAGCGCUGUCCUCCUGACGGCCAGCCUGGCUGUGACCAUCCACCCUGGAGGCCACUGGGAAGGGUCCCUGCCCUACUGACCCCAGCAGUGGAUCUGACCAUGUCUCCCAUCCAGCUGACUCAUUUUGCAAAUGUCGGCUAAGGGAGUCUGGGAGCCAGACAGCCGGUUCUGGGUGCUGGGCCCAGACCACCCCCAUGGUCGAGCUGGCCAGGAGGAAGUCUCCCCCCGAGACAAGGACAGGAGGGAGAGGCUCAUCUGACCUGGGGGCAGGGACAGGAGCCCAGGAUGGAGUGUACCGUGGUGCGGGGCCCGUGUCCUGGUGAGGGCGGGUGACAGGCCCGCCCAGGACCAGCGCCAGCUCCAUCGUCUGCACAGUUGUGCGACCAUGGAAACCACGUGUGUAGCCCACGGAAAACAUUAUUUUGCUUGAUGAAUCAUGUUCUAAUUUGGGAGGAAAAUUCAUUGGAUGGUUGAGGCAUUAAAAAGAAAUCAAGGAGUUCUUUGUUCACAGACGUAAGGGACGUUUGGGUCCUUGGUGUUUAUGAAUGAAGGCGGCUUCCGUCACCCACACCCUGGAAAGGAGUGGGACACUCUGGAAACACUGCAGUCACUGGAGGGGGGGCUCCUCAGACACUCUCACCCCAUCCUCUGGGUCCCCCAUCACCGAGACCCCCCAUCACGCAGUCCUCUGUGCCCCUUGUUACUCUGUCCUCUGGGCCCCCAUGUCAUCCUGUCACCUGGUCCCCCAUCACCCCAACUGCUGGGCUUGGUGCCUGUCCCCUGCCCACAAGCUCAGCUGUCACCAUGCCCUCCCUGAAGUCACGUGGCCUUUUUUGUGGAAACGGG